UGGAAGUAAAAAGUCGUAACAAGGUCUCCGUUGGUGAACCAGCGGAGGGAUCAUUACCGAGUUUACAACUCCCAAACCCCUGUGAACUAUACCUGUCGUUGCUUCGGCGGCCACGCCCCGGCGCCCUCGUGCCCGGAACCAGGCGCCCGCCGGAGGCCCCAAAAAACCAUGUUUACCACAGUGGCAUUAUCUGAGUGGCACAAGCAAAUAAAUCAAAACUUUCAACAACGGAUCUCUUGGUUCUGGCAUCGAUGAAGAACGCAGCGAAAUGCGAUAAGUAAUGUGAAUUGCAGAAUUCAGUGAAUCAUCGAAUCUUUGAACGCACAUUGCGCCCGCCAGCAUUCUGGCGGGCAUGCCUGUUCGAGCGUCAUUUCAACCCUCGCGCCCAAUUGCGGGCAGCGGUGUUGGGGACCGGCACCCGAAGGAAACCCCCCCGGGGGCCCUCCGAGCCGCCCCCUAAAUACAGUGGCGGUCUCGCUGCAGCCUCCCUUGCGUAGUAGCACACCUCGCACCGGAGCGCAGCGCGGCCACGCCGUAAAACCCCCGACUUUCAUGAGUUUGACCUCGGAUCAGGUAGGAAUACCCGCUGAACUUAAGCAUAUCAAUAAG
rnacentral:rRNA from 1 species